CUGCACUUGCCUGGCAUGUGUGAGACACUGAGUUCGAUUCUCAUCACUGCAUAUAAAUAAAUAAAAUAAAAGUCUAUCAACAACUAAAAAAACAAAAAAUUAAAAAGAGAAAAAAAGUCUGCCUUCCUCCCUACCAUCUCAUGCUUCAUAAGGAUGAUACAGAAGUUAGAUAUACUAUUUGGAGCAAGGGUGAACACUUUGCAGACCUUUAGCAUUAUUUUCUUUCUUUCGUCUAUCUUUCAGGAUAUCCCUGUGUCUUCUUGAUCAUCUCCACCCUCUUUUAGAUGGACAGCAUGCCUUUAUCUUAUUUGUUUACUUUUAUGUAGUGCUGAGGAUCAAACUCAGUACCUCACACAUGCCACACAAGUGCUCCGCCACUAAGCCCCAGCCCCAGCCCCAGCCCUCCAUCCUCUUUUACAAUGUUUCUUCUCAGCUAGCCUUUUUGAAAGAGCACUGAAAAUUUCCCACUUUCAUAUUUUGAACUCCUUUGCUCCCCUCUCCCUACAGUGUGUAUUAGGUCAGUAGUGACUUCCUAAUUGCCAAAUCCAGUUAUUUUUCUCUUUACUGAACUUGACAAUUUUGGUUAUCCCUUUCUUGAUGAUUUUACAUUUCCCUAGUUCUGUAUC
rnacentral:lncRNA from 1 species